GACGAACGCUGGCGGCGUGCUUAUCACAUGCAAGUCGAGCGGUAAGGCUCCUUCGGGCGUCCACGAGCGGCGAACGGGUGAGUAACACGUGAGUAACCUGCCCCAUUCAUCGGAAUAACCAGUGGAAACGCUGGCUAAUGCCGAAUACGACCACCGAAGGCAUCUUCUGGUGGUGGAAAGCUCCGGCGGAGUGGGAUGGACUCGCGGCCUAUCAGCUUGUUGGUGAGGUAACGGCUCACCAAGGCGACGACGGGUAGCCGGCCUGAGAGGGUGACCGGCCACACUGGGACUGAGACACGGCCCAGACUCCUACGGGAGGCAGCAGUGGGGAAUAUUGGACAAUGGGCGAAAGCCUGAUCCAGCAACGCCGCGUGAGGGAUGACGGCCUUCGGGUUGUAAACCUCUUUCAGCAGGGACGAAGCGAAAGUGACGGUACCUGCAGAAGAAGGACCGGCCAACUACGUG
rnacentral:rRNA from 1 species